CAAUGACUUGUAGGCAACGCGAGCUCGCAGGUCUGGAGAGAGAUCUUAACCUGAAACACUAUGACUAUAAUACGGUUCUCUCGAUCUUUUAUAUCUGUUACAUCAUUUUUGAGAUCCCGUCCAACAUGGCCUGCAAAUGGAUAGGCCCUGGAUGGUACUUACCAGCUAUCUCGCUAGCUUUCGGAAUUACUUCCAUAGCUACCGCUUUUGUGCAUAAUAUUCACGAAAUCUGUGGUGUUCGUUUUAUCCUUGGUGUUUUCGAGGCAGGUAUGCUACCGGGAAUUGCAUACUACAUGUCUAGGUGGUGCAGGAAAAGCGAAUUGACCUUCCGCCUGUCUCUUUACAUCGUAAUGGCUCCACUCGCCGGCGCUUUUGGUGGACUUCUUGCCUCUGCGAUUUUGAAAUUGUCAAAUGAAGAGAAGGACCUUGCCAUUGCUCGUAUUAAAUCAGAGCGAGUCGGAGUCACUGAGGUCCUGGACA
rnacentral:sRNA from 2 species